GAUGAACGCUAGCUACAGGCUUAACACAUGCAAGUCGCGGGGCAUCGCGGGAAGUUAGCAAUACUUUCUGGCGGCGACCGGCGGAUGGGUGAGUAACGCGUAUCCAACCUGGCCCUAUCUCGGGGACAGCCCCUCGAAAGAGGGAUUAAUACCCGAUGUUCCCUGGUUUCCGCAUGUUUACCAGGGCAAAGGCAUUUGUCGGAUAGGGAUGGGGAUGCGUUCCAUUAGGCAGUCGGCGGGGUAACGGCCCACCAAGGCGACGAUGCGUAGGGGUUCUGAGAGGAAGGUCCCCCACACUGGUACUGAGACACGGACCAGACUCC
rnacentral:rRNA from 1 species